rnacentral:rRNA from 1 species
AGAGUUUGAUCCUGGCUCAGGAUGAACGCUGGCGGCGUGCUUAACACAUGCAAGUCGAACGGGCUCAUAUUGAAACCUAGUGAUUUAUGAGUUAGUGGCGGACGGGUGAGUAACGCGUGGAAAACCUGCCGUAUACUGGGGGAUAACACUUAGAAAUAGGUGCUAAUACCGCAUAAGCGCACAGCUUCGCACGAAGUGGUGUGAAAAACUCCGGUGGUAUACGAUGGUUCCGCGUCUGAUUAGCUUGUUGGCGGGGUAAUGGCUCACCAAGGCGACGAUCAGUAGCCGGCCUGAGAGGGUGAACGGCCACAUUGGGACUGAGACACGGCCCAAACUCCUACGGGAGGCAGCAGUGGGGAAUAUUGCACAAUGGGGGAAACCCUGAUGCAGCGACGCCGCGUGAGUGAAGAAGUAUUUCGGUAUGUAAAGCUCUAUCAGCAGGGAAGAAAUAGCGACCUUUGGGUCGCCAGACGGUACCUGAUUAAGAAGCCCCGGCUAACUACGUGCCAGCAGCCGCGGUAAUACGUAGGGGGCAAGCGUUAUCCGGAUUUACUGGGUGUAAAGGGAGCGUAGACGGUAGCACAAGUCUGAAGUGAAAUGCCGGGGCUUAACCUCGGAACUGCUUUGGAAACUGUGCAGCUAGAGUGCAGGAGAGGUAAGUGGAAUUCCUAGUGUAGCGGUGAAAUGCGUAGAUAUUAGGAGGAACACCAGUGGCGAAGGCGGCUUACUGGACUGUAACUGACGUUGAGGCUCGAAAGCGUGGGGAGCAAACAGGAUUAGAUACCCUGGUAGUCCACGCUGUAAACGAUGAUUACUAGGUGUUGGG